CCAUACAGACUGCCUGUCGCCAUACUCCCAGCUGGGACUGCUCAUCGAAGAGGGGACAGGAUUAUAAAAAGAAGGGGCAGACACCCCAGGGCAUCCCACCUCCUUCCUCUUAUUGUGUCCAUUAAUUCACUACAUGAAAAGGGAAAAGGAAGCACCAAUAACACAGAAGAAGGGGUCCUGGCCUAAGAAGUUUGGCCAGUAAGACUGCUGAGAACAUGUGGGCAGAGAAUUGAACCUGGAUCUCCAGAGUGCCAACCUAGCACCUUCGCACCUUAACCAUUGGACCACCCUUCCUCUUUAAUGCAGCUGUGUAGUCUAGAUGAAAUUAGUGGGACUACCUGGGUGCACAAAGUUAACAUGAUUAAGCUUCUGUUCUGAAGAUUUUACAAGAUACUUACGAGUGAAGUUGUCUGCAUUAGGAAGGGUUUUUGCUGCUGGACAGUAUUGCCACACAACGUCGUCAAUAGGUCCCUCUGUAAUUAACAGCGGUUGU